rnacentral:rRNA from 1 species
GAUCAUGGCUCAGGAUGAACGCUAGCUACAGGCUUAACACAUGCAAGUCGAGGGGCAGCAUGACCUAGCAAUAGGUUGAUGGCGACCGGCGCACGGGUGAGUAACACGUAUCCAACCUACCGGUUAUUCCGGGAUAGCCUUUCGAAAGAAAGAUUAAUACCGGAUAGUAUAACGAGAAGGCAUCUUCUUGUUAUUAAGGAAUUUCGAUAACCGAUGGGGAUGCGUUCCAUUAGUUUGUUGGCGGGGUAACGGCCC